rnacentral:misc_RNA from 1 species
AUAAUGAAUGAAGAAAGUUGACCUGCACACCACAAAUUACUACAAGCUCAUCAAUAUUUAUGAGAAGUCAGUUGCAUGUUUAGAAGCUAGAUUAGCUUUUACACGCUAAGCAAACACCAUCACACAACUUAAGAACUAAAUACAGUCAUCAGUAAUAGACCUAUCAGAAAAUGUACAAAUUAAAAUGUAUUGAUUUUCUCAUUUCGACUUGAAAGCCUAGUGCUUUUUACUAUUUAAUUACCAACCA